rnacentral:tRNA from 1 species
GCCUGGGUGGCUCAGUCGGUUAAGCCUCUGACUUUGGCUCAGGUCAUGAUCUGACGGUUUGUGGGUUCAAGCCCCACUUCGGGCU